rnacentral:rRNA from 1 species
GAUGAACGCUGGCGGCGUGCCUAAUACAUGCAAGUCGAGCGAACGGACGAGAAGCUUGCUUUUCUGAUGUUAGCGGCGGACGGGUGAGUAACACGUGGAUAACCUACCUAUAAGACUGGGAUAACUUCGGGAAACCGGGGCUAAUACCGGAUAAUAUUUUGAACCGCAUGGUUCAAAAGUGAAAGACGGUCUUGCUGUCACUUAUAGAUGGAUCCGCGCUGCAUUAGCUAGUUGGUAAGGUAACGGCUUACCAAGGCAACGAUGCAUAGCCGACCUGAGAGGGUGAUCGGCCACACUGGAACUGAGACACGGUCCAGACUCUACGGGAGGCAGCAGUAGGGAAUCUUCCGCAAUGGGCGAAAGCCUGACGGAGCAACGCCGCGUGAGUGAUGAAGGUCUUCGGAUCGUAAAACUCUGUUAUUAGGGAAGAACAUAUGUGUAAGUAACUGUGCACAUCUUGACGGUACCUAAUCAGAAAGCCACGGCUAACUACGUG